GUGCUCACUUUGGCAGCUCAUACAAUAAAACUGGAAUGAUUUAGAGAAAAUAAGUAUGGCCUUUGUACAAGGAAUAUAUGCAAAGUCAUGAGCAGUCUAUUUUUUUG